AGGAGGGGCGGUUGGGUGUGCGGCUUCGGGGCUGGAGCAUGGCGGCGCGACGGCGACGGCGGCGAGCGGUCGGCUGGCGCGAGCGGGGAGGGAGAGGGGAAACAAGCUAGGUGAAACAAGCCCAUACCUCAAAACCCAAUCGCUGACAGGAGCAGAGACGCCGGCGCCGGAGACGAGCGGACGGGGAGCUGCGGAGCAA
rnacentral:lncRNA from 1 species